GGGUACUUGUACCUGGUGGCGAGCGGCGGACGGGUGAGUAAUGCCUAGGAAUCUGCCUGGUAGUGGGGGAUAACGCUCGGAAACGGACGCUAAUACCGCAUACGUCCUACGGGAGAAAGCAGGGGACCUUCGGGCCUUGCGCUAUCAGAUGAGCCUAGGUCGGAUUAGCUAGUUGGUGAGGUAAUGGCUCACCAAGGCCACGAUCCGUAACUGGUCUGAGAGGAUGAUCAGUCACACUGGAACUGAGACACGGUCCAGACUCCUACGGGAGGCAGCAGUGGGGAAUAUUGGACAAUGGGCGAAAGCCUGAUCCAGCCAUGCCGCGUGUGUGAAGAAGGUCUUCGGAUUGUAAAGCACUUUAAGUUGGGAGGAAGGGCAGUUACCUAAUACGUGAUUGUUUUGACGUUACCGACAGAAUAAGCACCGGCUAACUCUGUGCCAGCAGCCGCGGUAAUACAGAGGGUGCAAGCGUUAAUCGGAAUUACUGGGCGUAAAGCGCGCGUAGGUGGUUUGUUAAGUUGAAUGUGAAAUCCCCGGGCUCAACCUGGGAACUGCAUCCAAAACUGGCAAGCUAGAGUAUGGUAGAGGGUGGUGGAAUUUCCUGUGUAGCGGUGAAAUGCGUAGAUAUAGGAAGGAACACCAGUGGCGAAGGCGACCACCUG
rnacentral:rRNA from 1 species